ACGGAAGGCAGCAGUGGGGAAUAUUGCACAAUGGGGGAAACCCUGAUGCAGCGACGCCGCGUGAGUGAAGAAGUAUUUCGGUAUGUAAGGCUCUAUCAGCAGGGAAGAUAAUGACGGUACCUGACUAAGAAGCCCCGGCUAACUACGUGCCAGCAGCCGCGGUAAUACGUAGGGGGCAAGCGUUAUCCGGAUUUACUGGGUGUAAAGGGAGCGUAGGUGGCGUGGCAAGUCAGAAGUGAAAGCCCGGGGCUCAACCCCGGGACUGCUUUUGAAACUGUCAUGCUGGAGUGCAGGAGAGGUAAGUGGAAUUCCUAGUGUAGCGGUGAAAUGCGUAGAUAUUAGGAGGAACACCAGUGGCGAAGGCGGCUUACUGGACUGUAACUGACACUGAGGCUCGAAAGCGUGGGGAGCAAACAGGAUUAGAUACCCUGGUA
rnacentral:rRNA from 1 species